UACAGAGACUGCAAGCGUUAUUCGGAUUCACUGGGCGUAAAGGGUGCGCAGGCGGCCGAGUGUGUGAGGCGUGAAAGCCCGGGGCUUAACCCCGGAAUUGCACCUCAAACUACACGGCUAGAGCAUUGGAGAGGGUAGCAGAAUUCAUGGUGUAGCAGUGAAAUGCGUAGAUAUCAUGAGGAAUACCAGUGGCGAAGGCGACUGACUGGACAAGUAUUGACGCUGAGGCACGAAAGCGUGGGGAGCAAACAGG
rnacentral:rRNA from 1 species